GUAGACGUUUCAUCGUUAAUUUUCAUUAAGAAGAAUAUAAAGUAGAGUCAUCUACAUCAAUAAAUAGACAAUAUAAUUGAUCUCAACUAUAUGUAUUAUCAUUAUUUAGUGAAUAUUUUUGUAUUAAAAAUAGCGGCCUAUCCAUUUUUAUAUACUAGUUGAUUGCAAUUGUUGUAUAAACAUCUGUAUGUUAAAUUUUCAUGAUAAGUUCAAUUCGACAUUAAAACUGAAAAUAGUUAGAGAUAUGAGCAGAUGAACUUGUGCUAAUAACAUCCCCUUUGACCAGUUUUAACAUCUGUCAACCCAACCAGCGAAUCACGGUUGUACAGUACACAAUUUCCAACAAAAACCGUAUCAUAACAUAAAUUGAUCUGAAUCAGCAAAUACCUUCAUAUUUUUUAAAUUUAUGGUUUUAUUUUUCCAUCAUUUGUAGUUUACGUUCGUUGCAUUCAACUAAUGUAUAGAAAUUGAUAGGUCGUCGUUUUGAAUACAAAGAUAUCCACUAAAUAGUGAUAAUACAUAUAGUUGAGGAUAAUUAUGUUGUCUAUUGUUUGAAGUAGGCAACUCUAUUUUGUAUUCUUCGUAAUAAAAAUUAACGAUGAAACGUCUACUUGUUCAAUAAUGAAAAAAUAAUUAGAAUCGGUCAACAAACCACUGAGAUAUGACCUUUUGAAAUAAACAUGCCAACUUUUAUCCAUUUUUUUCAAUUUACACAUUAUAUUUAACGUUUGGUAGAUAACCCUAUUUUCAUAUUUUUUCAGUGCACCAUAUAAGUAAAACCUUUUGUACAUUAUAUUUAUGAAAUUAAAUGGUAAGGUUUUCCUUUGUAAACCGCGACACGUAUAAACGAUCUAAAUAGUCAAUGGACAAACAUGGAUUCACCCUUGAAGUCUGGUAGAAAACCCAUCUAUGACCGCAUACCACAUCCAAACCGUUAUAAAUUUUGAUUCCGUCAAUGAAAUAUUUUCAAACUUGCAGGGGAUAUACUUGAUUACUGUAUCUUUCGAAUGCCAUGUACUAAAUAAGUAGACAAAUAUUUUUUUGUUUAUAGAGAUAGGACCAAACCCGUGGGUGUUUGCUGGUAGCCUUAUGAAACGCGUUAUAAAACUUCAAAUCGCAAUUUUUCUCGAAUCUCUCGAUGGAUCAUUUUGAAAUUCACUGAGAAGGUGCUUGGAUACUGUAUCUUUCGAAUGCCGAUUGACAAAUUUAUGGUAAUUUUUUUGUUAAUAACGGUUUUAGGAACACCGUGGGGUGGCUUUUGCGCACGAUGGGGAGGGUGAGAAAUACCUAAGCCGAGGAAAGGAAAGGUUUACCAGCACAUAAAUGGAAUGGCAAGAAUUUAUUUGAUCUCUAUCAAUUACGCGAAUGACAAUAUAAUACUGAUGAAAUGCAUGAAUUUGCCGAAAAUUAAAUUGAAAAUUGCACUUGCGAUCGCUUCAUCUGAAGUUAAAUCAACAUUGCUGGAUGAUGGACGAACAGCUGUGCCCUAAAAUAACCACUUACUUACAAUAUCAAUCAAAAUUCGGGUGUAAGCAAAAUGCUGAAAGAAUGCAACACUGUUAUAUAGGACGAAUUCACGAUGACCUAUAAAAGGAAUCAAUCGAAUAUUUGGUGGCGUGGUCGGCGAUCUUCGUCAAAUUUUACCCGUUAGUCGACAUCUAGUGAUGAAAUCAGUUCCUGCUUAAGGGGGUAGGAUUAUUGUUGAAAAAAAUACCGUACUCAAAAAAAUGGCGAUACCGAGAGUGUUAGUCUAUUUAGUCAAUAAUGCAACAUUUAAGCAAUAUUUUUUAAAUGUUCACCGCAAAAUAUUGAAAAUUGGAUGUGUUAUAGUGAAUCUUCAAGAGAUACCCCGAAUAAAUGCGAUGUUUUUGUUUGAUUUUGCACAUUUCUCUUUCAUAUCAUAACAUCAUUAAAGAUCUUUGUUCACAAAAAUAAGUUUCAUGAUUUUUUAAACUAAAAUUGCAUUUUUAGCUGCAGAAUGCUACGAAAAAAUCAAAUAUCAAGAAAAAAAUAAAAGCUUCCAUCAAUGCCUAGGGAUAUGAAGAAGAACUGUGCAAACCUUGAAAACGAUUGGUCCAAUAUAUUUUGAUUUAUGAUGUAGACCACACAACAACGCAACGAGAUACCUCCAGAGAUUCUCUGUCACUGGCUCAAUUUUCAGUAUUCUGCUAUGAUAUUUGAAGAAAUUUCAAUUGUGAUUAUAUGGAAAGUGACUGAAUAUACUAACACUCUCUGUAUCGAUUUUUUUAAAUUAUUAAUUUAUUUAUUUAUUCAUUAAUUAUUUAAUUAUUAAUUCAGUCGAUCCACCAUGCUUUCAGGAGUAUUGGUUUUAAACGUAACCUACCCAACCGUCUCCGCUAGACGAAGGUUUUUAUAUUUAAUCGAAAGAAAAAGUUCUUUCUACGAAUUUUUGCGAUUAAGGAAGUUGCUUAAGGUGUAAAUUGACCUAAAAAUAUUCGAAAAUUGACAAUAACUUUGUUGUUUCGAGAGCUACAGAUUCAUCGUUGCUUAAAAAAUGUGCAUUUUAUCGCUUUUAACAACUUUGUAGAAGACACUUUUAAUAAUAAAAAGUAAUCGUAAAAAAUUA